rnacentral:rRNA from 1 species
UACGGGGGGGUCCAAGCGUUGUUCGGAAUCAUUGGGCGUAAAGAGCGUGUAGGCGGCCCGGUAAGUCCGCUGUGAAAGUCGGGGGCUCAACCCUCGGAUGCCGGUGGAUACUGUCGGGCUCGAGUACGGAAGAGGCGAGUGGAAUUCCUGGUGUAGCGGUGAAAUGCGCAGAUAUCAGGAGGAACACCUAUUGCGAAGGCAGCUCGCUGGGACGUUACUGACGCUGGAGACGCGAAAGCGUGGGGAGCAAACAGG